rnacentral:rRNA from 1 species
CCUACGGGUGGCAACAGUAGGGAAUGUUGCGCAAUGGGCGAAAGCCUGACGCAGCAACGCCGCGUGAAGGAGACGUGCUUCGGGGUGUAAAGAUCUGUCAGUGGGGACGAAAAGGACGGUACCCACAGAGGAAGCACCGGCGAACUCCGUGCCAGCAGCCGCGGUAAUACGGAGGGUGCAAGCGUUGUCCGGAAUCAUUGGGCGUAAAGAGUGCGUAGGCGGCAUGUAAAGUCAGGUGUUAAAGGCGCAGGCUCAACCUGUGUAUGGCACUUGAUACUUGCAAGCUGGAAUGCGGUAGAGGUAACGGGAAUUCCUGGUGUAGCGGUGCACUGCUUAGAUAUCAGGAGGAACAUCGGUGGCGUCCGCGCUUUACUGGGCCGUAAUUGACGCUGAGGUACGAAAGCCAGGGUAGCACAUGGGAUUAGAUACCCUUGUAGUC